UUAGAUUAAGAAUUCGCCAGUCCUCCAGGUAGAAUCCGGAAGGAGAUUUGUGUAGAAGCUGUUUAUUAAAGAAGUGUUCCCAUGGAAACCUGGUUCCAGGGUCAAUAGAUUUGGACGAGCAAUCAUGUAAUUGCAGACAGAGCUCCCGUGUCAGUCUGAUCCCACAGACAGCUCCAUAAUAUGAAUUGUAGAUCUGAAUCUGUCCUUACUAAGGCAAAGGAACUGACUUUUGCAUUUGAUCAUCAAGUUAGUGAACGAGAGCCUGCGUGAGAGCUGUGACCUUCCAGAAACUUCUUGCUCUGCACUUCCGGGACAACUGGGUCUGGCUAAGGUCAGACAGUCACAUGCAGAAGAUAGUCUUCUAUCAAGAAAACACAUAGAUCAGCAUAAAGGGAAAGACAGAGUUGCUUGACUCUUACCAUAUCUGUAAAUCACAUCUGAAAUGGGAGCCCAGCAAGAAGGAUGUAGAUAACAGCACAUCAAAGGAAGAACAGAGUCUAAAAAUAUUUGGUUUGAAAUCUCAUUCACAAUAUGCCAAGUAUCAUAUUACUUGACAUCCUUUCCUGACUGCCUUUUGAAAAUUAUAAUUAGAAUGACUUCCCACUCACAUGCGGUGGAGAAGAAGGUGGGGAAUCUCAUGACCCAGCUGGCGAACUUGUAGAAAUUGCGAACAGUCCAAUUCAGAGAACUCUAGAGUCAUGGAAUUGUAAAAUGAAAAGAAAAUUGGAAUCAUUCAGACUAGUUCAUUUUUUAGAAACAUAGCAGGUGAAGCCCUGGAAGUAGAAUGAGGCUUGCAUAGCCC
rnacentral:lncRNA from 1 species